UGGGGAAUUUUGGACAAUUGGGCGAAAGCCUGAUCCAGCAAUGCCGCGUGUGUGAAGAAGGCCUUCGGGUUGUAAAGCACUUUUGUCCGGAAAGAAAUCCUUGGCUCUAAUACAGUCGGGGGAUGACGGUACCGGAAGAAUAAGCACCGGCUAACUACGUGCCAGCAGCCGCGGUAAUACGUAGGGUGCAAGCGUUAAUCGGAAUUACUGGGCGUAAAGCGUGCGCAGGCGGUUUGCUAAGACCGAUGUGAAAUCCCCGGGCUCAACCUGGGAACUGCAUUGGUGACUGGCAGGCUAGAGUAUGGCAGAGGGGGGUAGAAUUCCACGUGUAGCAGUGAAAUGCGUAGAGAUGUGGAGGAAUACCGAUGGCGAAGGCAGCCCCCCUGGGCCAAUACUGACGCUCAUGCACGAAAGCGUGGGGGAGCAAACAGGAUUAGAUACCCUGGUAGUCCACGCCCUAAACGAUGUCAACUAGUUGUUGGGGAUUCAUUUCCUUAGUAACGUAGCUAACGCGUGAAGUUGACCGCCUGGGGAGUACGGUCGCAAGAUUUAAAAACUUUAAAUUGAAUUGACGGGGUCAUAGCUGUUUCCU
rnacentral:rRNA from 1 species